AUCAAAAAUAAGAUUUAUUCUUUUAAAACUUCAAGAGAAAAGAAAAUACUU
rnacentral:tRNA from 1 species